rnacentral:tRNA from 1 species
CGGGGCGUAGCGCAGCUUGGUAGCGCGUUUGGUUCGGGACCAAAAGGUCGCGUGUUCAAAUCACGUCGCCCCGACCA